rnacentral:rRNA from 1 species
ACUCCUACGGGAGGCAGCAGUGGGGAAUAUUGGACAAUGGGCGAAAGCCUGAUCCAGCCCAUGCCGCGUGUGUGAAGAAGGUCUUCGGAUUGUAAAGCACUUUAAGUUGGGAGGAAGGGCAUUAACCUAAUACGUUAGUGUCUUGACGUUACCG